CAAUAGCGUAUAUUAAAGUUGUUGCAGUUAAAAAGCUCGUAGUUGAAUUUUUGCUUGCCGCCGAUGUCGGAACUUCCGUACGUUCGGCGGCGUGCAUCCUUGGGUGGAGCCUGUGUGGCAUUAGGUUGUCGUGCAGGGGAUGCUCAUCGUUUACUGUGAAAAAAUUAGAGUGUUCAAAGCAGGCUUACGCCGUUGAAUAUAUUAGCAUGGAAUAAUAAGAUAGGACCUUGGUACUAUUUUGUUGGUUUGCGCACCGAGGUAAUGAUUAACAGGGACAGUUGGGGGUAUUCGUAUUCCAUUGUCAGAGGUGAAAUUCUUGGAUUUCUGGAAGACGAACUACUGCGAAAGCAUUUACCAAGGAUGUUUUCAUUAA
rnacentral:rRNA from 1 species